rnacentral:misc_RNA from 1 species
AAGUCGUAACAAGGUUUCCGUAGCGGUCGUUCCACAAACGUCCCUCGAGUCUAUGGAGUAACAGCAAUGUUCCUUCCGCAGAGUACACUUGCAGAAGCCUUAGCUGGCCCGAAAGGGCUCUCACCCAGCGACUGUAAACAAUUGAGUGUUUAAAAGCUAGUCUCUCCUUGGAGAGGCGACACUAUCAAAUUGCGGGGAAAUCCUGUUAAGUCUUCACUACCGCGGCUCUCCGAAAGGCAGAGUGCAGCACCAGGGUAAUGACCUCGGGGAUGG